rnacentral:piRNA from 1 species
UCUUGUCUUGAACUUACGACCCAUAAA